AGUGAACGCUGGCGGUAGGCCUAACACACGCAAGUCGAACGGCAGCACAGUAAGAGCUUGCUCUUACGGGUGGCGAGUGGCGGACGGGUGAGGAAUACAUCGGAAUCUACUUUUUCGUGGGGGAUAACGUAGGGAAACUUACGCUAAUACCGCAUACGACCUACGGGUGAAAGCAGGGGAUCUUCGGACCUUGCGCGAUUGAAUGAGCCGAUGUCGGAUUAGCUAGUUGGCGGGGUAAAGGCCCACCAAGGCGACGAUCCGUAGCUGGUCUGAGAGGAUGAUCAGCCACACUGGAACUGAGACACGGUCCAGACUCCUACGGGAGGCAGCAGUGGGGAAUAUUGGACAAUGGGCGCAAGCCUGAUCCAGCCAUACCGCGUGGGUGAAGAAGGCCUUCGGGUUGUAAAGCCCUUUGUUGGGAAAGAAAAGCAGCAGGUUAAUACCCCGCUGUUCUGACGGUACCCAAAGAAUAAGCACCGGCUAACUUCGUG
rnacentral:rRNA from 1 species